GUCUGCCUACGGGAGGCAGCAGUGGGGAAUAUUGCACAAUGGGGGAAACCCUGAUGCAGCGACGCCGCGUGAGUGAAGAAGUAAUUCGUUACGUAAAGCUCUAUCAGCAGGGAAGAAACACUGACCUUACGGUCAGCAGACGGUACCUGGGUAAGAAGCCCCGGCUAACUACGUGCCAGCAGCCGCGGUAAUACGUAGGGGGCAAGCGUUAUCCGGAUUUACUGGGUGUAAAGGGAGCGUAGACGGUGAGACAAGUCUGAAGUGAAAGCCCGGGGCUCAACCCCGGGACUGCUUUGGAAACUGCC
rnacentral:rRNA from 1 species